CACCCGCAGCCGGCGGGCGGCGCGGCACCGCCGCACCAGGGCCCUCAUCUUCUACGGCACCGACUUCCGCGCCUACGAGGCGCCGCUGCCCCGCCUGCCCCACCAGGCCUGGGCGCUCUUCCACGAGGAGUCGCCCAUGAACAACUACCUGCUCUCGCACCCGCCCGGCAUCGGGCUCUUCAACUACACGGCCACCUUCCGCCGCCACUCCGACUACCCGCUGACCCUGCAGUGGCUGCCGGCCGCCGGCUACCUGCGCGGGCCCGCCGUGCCGCUGGCACACAAGGAUGAGUGGCGGCGGCGGGGCUACGCGCCCGUGCUCUACCUGCAGUCCCACUGCGACGUCCCCUCCGACCGCGAUCGCUACGUGCGUGAGCUGAUGAAGUACAUCCAGGUUGACUCCUAUGGGAAAUGCCUGCAUAACCGUGACCUUCCCAGUGAGCGACUGCGAGACACCUCUACAGCCACGACAGAAGAUUCUGAAUUUAUGACUUUUAUCGCCAGGUACAAGUUCCACUUGGCCUUGGAGAAUGCCAUCUGUGACGACUACAUGACAGAGAAGCUGUGGCGUCCCAUGCACUUGGGUGCUGUCCCAGUAUACCGAGGCUCCCCAACUGUGCGGGACUGGAUGCCAAACAACCACUCCAUCAUUCUGAUAGAUGACUUUGACAGCCCCCAAGAGCUGGCAAAGUAUCUUGAUUUCCUGGACAAGAAUGGAGAGGAAUAUCUGAAGUAUCUAGAGUAUAAAAACCCUGGUGGAAUCAAAAACCAGUUCUUGCUAGAGAGCUUGGAGAGGCGGGAGUGGGGUGUGAAUGACAUGACUCUGCCCAAUUACCUGAAUGGCUUCGAGUGUUUCAUCUGUGACAGGGAGAACAUCCGGGCCAAAGAGGAGCAGGAACACAGAAAGUCUCACGGGAAAAUUCCAGCUCCCAAACCUCGCAUAGCUCAGUUCAAGCACAUGGGAUGUCCUAUGCCAACCCCCGGGUUUGGAAGCAUUGAAGACCUCUCUGAAGGAGACAGUUGGAAAGAGAUGUGGCUGCAGGAUUACUGGCAAAGCCUUGACCAGGGCGAGGCCCUCACUGCUAUGAUUCAUCGCAAUGAGUCACAUCAGGGAAGAUUUUGGGACUAUAUGCAUGAGAUUUUUCUCAAGAGGACGAGGCAACACUGACCCAUCUUUGCAAGAGCUUGAUUUGGAAACUGCAUUGAAAGUUGAGCCCUGAGCAUUCUUAUCUCGCUCCAGAUGUUGGCCUUGAAAUAGAAGAACUCUUGCAGAGACUUUUUUUUCUGGUGCAUGAAGAAUAACAGGAGGAAGAACCAACAUAAGCAGGUGUAUCAUAGCACCUGCUUAGUUUGCGAUGAGCGAUGUCCAAAAGCCUCACUUUGCCUUCCCGCUCGGCAAAAUGAGCGUGUUUGUCAGCUAACAGCAGCAUUGACGCUAUGGUGGUACAAACUUCAGAAUAGCUAGCACACCAGGUAAAAACUUAUUCCUUGGGACCCUGAUUCAUUGAUUUGCUAGUUCCCAACCAAGUGUUCCUUUACUGCUCUUUGUCUGCGCUGCGUGUAUUGCAGUCGCCAGUCAACUGGCGAUAACAACUUUGUUAGUCCUACAGGGUUUUUUUUGUUUGAGUUUUUUUGCUAUGUGUAUGUACUUCAGAAGGCUGUUGCUUUGAGCUCCAUGACUGUUGCCAAGCAUCAGUAUUUCAUAUUGCCACAUCCCUUCUUAACACCGGUAUGAAAGCAGCACAGAUAUGAAAGUAACUUUAUCAGAUAUUCUGUGGGUUUUGUCUGAGUUUUUCAAAUGCCAACUUUCAGUUUGUAGUUAUGAGACAGGAGUCAGUUGUAAUAGCUUUCUCUUAUGGCUGCUUAGUGCCUUCCUAGGUUUAACUAUUUUUUACAGUCUUACUGGUGUUGAACUUCUCAAAAGGUAAUGAGUAUCAGCUACUGCUCCUUGCAGCCAUGACGCUCACCCAAGCCUUGUGUUUUUCUUGUACCUGCAUUUUUUUCUGUGGUAAUAGAUCACACUCGCUUGUCUCCCGUAUGUCACGAUAUGUCCGUGUUUUAUAAACAGUGUGUCUGUUGCCUACUUUAAUACACUAAAUGUGUUUCACUUAUUAUACAUGGUGCACAAGGAUUAAACCGAAAUAUUUCUUCCAGUGCUUAGUAUGAAUAGCUUGUGUUGCUGCCAGGCAGACUCCUCAGGGCGGGAGAGGUGGGAAUCCUCCCCAGCUGGCGCAGGAGUUGGGUUUGCAGCUCUGUUCCCAGCUGCUGACUGACCUUCACAACAACCGCUUCUCUGCACAGCAAGGGCUGCAAAAUGCUGAAUAAAGGUGGUUCUGCCACCAGGGCUUUGCUUUCGUCUCUCCUGUUAUUUGGAGGAGGCAGGAGGAGAAGCUGGGUCUCAUACCCUUGAGGAGUAUACAAUUAACCUAAUGAUGCAUUUGAAAGGAUUGCUAUAUAACGUCCAAAGACUACUGCUAGUCUUAGCCAAAGUGAAUUUAAUUUAUGAUCCUAGUUGUCUUCCUACUAAUGCGAGUAUGUGAAUGCAGACAAGGAGGAAGGUCACUGCAGCAACUGUUAGUAUUUUGGGAAAAGGUUUCUGGUUUCUGCUCUUGACUACCAACUGGAUUUCUCAUUUCACUGCUUUAAAUCCAAACCAGCUACAUGGCUGAACGUCAUCACUUGUGUUGUGACUGCUGGAAGGCUUACACUUUUCAGUCUGAGCAUUGUAUAUGCAGCAUCUUUCUUAAUGACAUUCUUACAGUGCAGGUGCCCAUACUCAUAAAAACCACACAACUGAGACUAGUCUGGAAUUUUAGUGAAGUUACAAAUAUUGACGAUGAUAAAGAGAUUACUUCUGUAAACCCUUUAGUAGACUUCUGCUAACUAGGGUGAGUCACUUCACUGCUUGUCAUGCAUUUUGCCCGUUUACUGUGUGACUAGAGGGAGGAUUUCAAAGUUGCCAGGAUAGCAUUAUUCACUAACGUUAACGUCCUGAAAAUAGCUGUCUCCUCAUUGCUGCUCAUAUGACACACUAGUAGAUUUUCUAUAUGGAUGCUGUGUCUCAGAAUUGACUUGACAAGCUAGGACAUGUUUAUGCUUUCUGAGAAGGGAGAGAGGAGAAGCAACUGUCUGACAGAAGGUUAAAAAUCUAGCAAUGCAGUUCAUUGCAUCGGAGAAGCUCAAGUUCUCAUUCCCUUGCCAAAACUGUGAUAUCAGGUGCUGCCUGUUUUUUUCAGUAAAAAGCUGGCUAUUUUAUAUACUGAGCUAGUAGUCUGUGUUUUCUGCCCUUUAGCAAGGGGUGCAAUGUUUAGAGGAAGCAUAUAAUCCCACUGAAGACUACUGAUUUGAUACCUAACAUCGGUCAUUUCUACAAAUGAAAAAAUAACUGCCUUCUCUUAUUUCUGUCACUGUAGUAAUUUUCAAACUGAAGGAUCUCCGAGUCCUCUGUGAUGGUAAGUAGAAUGAGAGCCAAGCAACAAUGGAUGUGUAUGUUUAGAGGGAAAGAAGAAUAAAACCUGGAAAAGGUCUGCAACGUGCAGCAGCUGGAGAAUCGCAGCAGAAAUGCCCCUCUUGCACCUUGACAGUGGGUAGUUUUAACCAGCAUGGAAGAACAAGUAACUCCUGAAGGACUGGGAACAGGAUAAAUGGCAUCAACACGCAGCCGUCGGGGACAUCACUGUUUAAGCAGGCUUUGCCAUGUUAGACAAGCAGCCAUCUGCCUCCCUUACCAUCCCGCCAUAUGCACUCUUCAGCCACUGUCCCGAGAGAGCCGCUCCCUUAAUGAUCAGUUGUCAUCCAUUUGGUUGGAUUUAAUUAAGAUUGUUAUGGAUCUCUAGGCACCUUUUGAGAAGUUGUAUUAAUUGGAAACAAACAGGAUGGCAGGUUCCUUCAUUCUGCCCAGAGACCUCUACUGACAGGUCGAAAUUAAUCAGGGAAAAAAUCCUUUUAGUGAUAGGAGCAGCUGAGCCAAAACCUGUGUCAGGCUUUAACAAACUGCACUUCUCUUAUCAUUCAGUGUCUCGGAUCUGGCAGUGAGAGAUACAUGGCCCUGCAGAGGGAUUAGGGAGGUGGAGAAGAACGGAGCUGCAGGAUUUGUUCCAGAGCUCCGACAUGACUGGCAUCUUAAUUUGUAUGCUGUUACAUGCAUUCUUUCCCGCAGAAAAGACCCAUCUAAUGCUGAAGCAUCUCAGCUAAAGAUAGUUCUGGGGAUCUUGGAACGGAUCAGAGCAGAUCACGAUGCUUUGUGGCAUCUCUGAGCAAAUGAGGAGGCAUCAGGUAAUUUGUAGUGGAAAUGGGCUGGAUCUGAGUAGAUCUGGGAAUUAGAGAUUAGGGAUGGCAGCUCAGAACUAGUCAGGUGGAUGGAAUAACGCAGGGUGGCUGACCUGACUGACAACUCAGGAUAAGGCAGGCCAGCAUUGGAGGUGGGGCAGGGGGUGGCAUACCAGAACAGAAAUUGCAUCUGUCAUUGUGCUAAUGAAUGCACUUGUGCUAAUAAGUGCAUUAAGUGCUAAUACUGUCCAAGCACAAUAGCUCAGCAGGCAGGAGUAAAUCUGAAUCGACUGGAAUCUUAGCAAACCAGUUAGUUUCACUACUAGAGUUGAAGUGGGGGUGCUUAACUUUCUAGGCAUCUCCAAUUAAAUUGGAGUUUGAGGUGAGGGUGAGACAGCUAAGAAUAAAUUGUGGUAGGUGAGGGCAUUAUGAUUUUGUAUGAAGAGAACUGGAGCAUUCAGGAUAAAUGUGGUGUCGUGGCUUAAACCAGUACACUUGGGUGAAUAUACUGGAAUUUACCUGAAAGCUGGAUUCAAGCAGUUCAGAAAGACAUGGAUAUCAACCCUGUUCAUUGCUCCCAGUUCAACUGAUUUCUUAGUCUCAUUCCCUAAGUGGGUUUUAGGCAGUGCCUGAAGGUUUUGCACAGUUACUCCAUAAAGCAAAGAAUCCAUGGUGUAAUUUCUCACCUCUUAAAAGAUGUAUUUAAGAAAACAGUCACAUUUUAAGGGUGUAUUUUAUUACAGCAUUGAUAGCACUGUAUUAAUUGUGGCAUGGUAUUUACUGCAGCAUCGUAACUGGCCCUUAUUCCAGUUGUGAUAGAUUCUUGUCAAAUCUAAUAGUUUAAUCUCUAUCAUUCAUUUUGGUUUUGACUAGCAGAAAUGUAGGCUAGGAUUCAGCUUUAACUAUGUUGAUCCAAGUAAAGAAGUUGUAAAUGCAGUUAGAUUUUUAAGUGUUCUUUACAGUUGUACAUUCAGCAUUGGCAAUGGAACACCUGCGGGUUUCACUGCUCAGUGUGUCGACGGAAUUGGGUUUCUGACUGUCCCUUUAAAGCUGGCGCUUCCAGCCCACCCACUGGUGUCUCUGUGUCAGCCAUCAGCUGUACAAAAUACAGGCUAUAGAGUGA